UACGGAGGGGGCUAGCGUUGUUCGGAAUUACUGGGCGUAAAGCGCACGUAGGCGGCUUUGUAAGUUAGAGGUGAAAGCCCGGGGCUCAACUCCGGAACUGCCUUUAAGACUGCAUCGCUAGAAUUGUGGAGAGGUAAGUGGAAUUCCGAGUGUAGAGGUGAAAUUCGUAGAUAUUCGGAAGAACACCAGUGGCGAAGGCGACUAACUGGACAUGUAUUGACGCUGAGGUGCGAAAGCGUGGGGAGCAAACAGG
rnacentral:rRNA from 1 species